CUGGUGUGGUUUUUGGUGCUUGCACUUCUCCCUUUGUAUUGUUUGGUUUAUUUAUUUAUUGCUGCUAUUUUACUCUGACUGUUUUUCCUGUUUUCUUUCUUUCCAGGAUAUCUUGUUCUCUCUGGCAGUACGGCGUUCUUCAGUUUGUCAGGUGAAGCGGGAGUGUUGUCUGUUGGUUUGUAGUUUCAACAGGUGGUUGUUCAGAAGUGUGGCGUUUCUGUGCGGGUUAAGAAGCCCACUGUGAAGUUUGCAGCUCUUCAAGUAUGUGGGAAGAAACAGAAAGUGAAGCUGCCAUCUUCUUCUGGAGAGCGUGGACAAUAAAUGUGCUAAACCCUUUGUGUUGCUUGUGGUGUUGUGUCAUAGAAACAUAGAAUCCCAGGGCUGGAAGGGAUCUGCAAGAUCCUCUAUUUGACCCCGUCCUUCCAUUUCUGUUGCUACCACAGGCUGCUAACCCAUUUCUCCUAGCUCCUCAUACUGAUGCCUCUCAAACAGUGCCAGGGACAGUGACUCCAGUUGGCAGGGCAUUGCAGCUCUUGACCCAGCUUUGACAGACGGAGUU
rnacentral:lncRNA from 7 species